rnacentral:rRNA from 1 species
GAUGAACGCUGGCGGCGUGCCUAAUACAUGCAAGUCGAGCGAACAGACGCUGCUCUUGCUCCUCUCACGUUAGCGGCGGACGGGUGAGUAACACGUGGAUAACCUACCUAUAAGACUUGGAUCACUUCGGGAAACCGUAGCUAAUACCGUAUAAUAUCUUGAACCGCAUGGUUCGAUAGUAAUAGACGGUUUUGCUUUCACUUAUAGCUGAUUCCCCGCCGCAUUAGCUAGUUGCUAAGGUAACGGGUUACCAAGGCACCGAUUCGUAGCCGACCUGAGAGGGGGAUCGGCAACACUGGAACUGAGACACGGUCAAGACUACUACGGGAGGCAGCAGUAGGGAAUCGGACGCAAUGGGCGAAAGCAUGACGGAGCAACGGCGCGUGAGUGACGAAGGUGUUCGGAGCGUAAAAAUCUGUUAUGAGGGAAGAACAAAUGUGGAAGGAAAUAUGCACGCGUUGACGGUACCUAAACAGAAAGCCACGGCUAACUACGUG